rnacentral:tRNA from 1 species
GCAGGCAUAAUAUAAUGGUUAAUAUGUUAGCUUGCCAAGCUAAAAAUGUGGGUUCAAUUCCCACUGUCUGCU